AACGAACGCUGGCGGCGCGUUUUAAGCAUGCAAGUCGAGCGGUAAGGUCCUUCGGGACCCCAGAGCGGCGGACGGGUGAGUAACACGUGGAUAAUCUGCCUCUCAGUCCGGGAUAGCACAUGGAAACAUGUGAUAAUACCGGAUACGAUGUGCCUGUCACAUGGCGGGUACAGGAAAGGUCCUGCGGGAUCGCUGGGAGAUGAGUCCGCGGCCCAUUAGCUUGUUGGCGGGGUAAAGGCCCACCAAGGCGACGAUGGGUAGCCGGCCUGAGAGGGUGGACGGCCACAUUGGGACUGAGACACGGGCCCAGACUCCUACGGGAGGCAGCAGCUAAGAAUCUUCCACAAUGGACGAAAGUCUGACGGAGCAACGCCGCGUGAGUGAUGAAGGAUUUUCGGGUCUGUAAAGCUCUGUUGCUUAUGACGAACGUGCAGUGUGUGAACAACGC
rnacentral:rRNA from 1 species